rnacentral:rRNA from 1 species
UCUACGGGAGGCAGUUUGUGGGGAAUAUUUACGGGAGGCAGCAGUGGGGAAUAUUGGGCAAUGGCCGAAAGGCUGACCCAGCAACGCCGCGUGGUGGAUGAAGCCCUUCGGGGUGUAAACACCUUUUCUGGGGGAAGAUAAUGACGUA